GCCUGGGUGGCUCAGUUGGUUGAGUGUCUGACUUUGGCUCAGGUCAUGUUCUCACAGUUCAUGAGUUCAAGCCCCAUACUGGGCU
rnacentral:tRNA from 1 species